rnacentral:lncRNA from 1 species
UUUAUGUACAGUAUAUAUUAUGUAUUUGGUGUACUUUGAUAUUUUAGUUAUAGUAUAUAGUAUGUAUUUGGUAUGUUUGAUAUUUUAUGUACAGUAAAUAAUAUAUAUUUGGUGUACUUUGAUAUUUUAUGUACAGUAUACAAUACAUAUUUUGUGUACUUUGAUAUUUUAUAUACAGUAUAUAAUAUGUAUUUUCUGUAAUUUUAUAUUUUGUGUACAUUGAUAUUUUAUGUGCAGUAUAUAUGUUUUGCAUACUUUGAUAUUUUAUGUACAGUGUAUAAUAUGUAUUUUGUGUACUUUGAUAUUUUAUGUACAGUAUAUAAUAUGUAUUUGGUGCACAUUGAUAUUUUAUGUACAGUAUAUAACAUGUAAUUUGUGUACUUUGAUAUUUUAUGAACAGUAUAUAAUAUGUAUUUGGUGUACUUUGAUAUUUUAUGUACAGUAUAUAAUAUGUAUUUGGUGUACUUUGAUAUUUUAUGUACAGUAUAUAAUAUAUAUUUUGUGUACUUUGGUAUUUUAAGUACAGUGUAUAAUAUAUAUUAUGUAUACUUUGAUAUUAUAUGUACAGCAUAUAAUAUAUAUUUUGUGUACUUUGAUAUAUUAUGUAUAGUAUAUAAUAUGUAUUAAGU